AAAAAGGCAAACCCUGGGUUUCCGUGUCCAACUUUGACUGUCCGUCUUAUAUGAAAUUUUUUUAUAAUUCGUAUUUUCAUUGUUGUUAGAUGAUAAAAUAUGAUUAAUAUUUUAUGUGUGACUUGUAUUUUUAAUUUUUUUUAUAAUUUUUUCAAAUAAAACGAACGGACAAACGUUGGACACGGAAACCAGGGUUAUGUUUUUC
rfam:Oryza nivara chromosome 11, whole genome shotgun sequence.